GACGUAGGGCGCGAGCGUUGUCCGGAUUUAUUGGGCGUAAAGAGCUCGUAGGCGGCUUGUCGCGUCGAAUGUGAAAUCUUAGGGCUCAACUCUGACAUUGCAUUCGAUACGGGCAGGCUAGAGUUCGGUAGGGGAGACUGGAAUUCCUGGUGUAGCGGUGAAAUGCGCAGAUAUCAGGAGGAACACCGGUGGCGAAGGCGGGUCUCUGGGCCGAUACUGACGCUGAGGAGCGAAAGCGUGGGGAGCGAACAGG
rnacentral:rRNA from 1 species